UUCCAUGAAAUUAUUGAAAAUCAAUGGAAAUCUUUGGUGAAGAUGUAGUUAAUCGAUAAAAUGCGAUAUCGAUAAAUGUGAUUAAUAGCGAUAAUGAAUGGGUAAUCGAAGUGAUUCACGAUUUUAAUGGGAGAAAUGAUAACGGCAGUACCUCAUCGAUAAUUUUCUCGCGGCGUUCAUCAUUUUUGGAGGCGUAAGUGAAUUAAGUCAUGUGUCACUGACCUACGAAAUCAUGGAACGAAUUGUACACACUUUUUUUUAUGUUUAACCGAUACUUGCGGUUUGCGUGGAUGCGGCUUAUCUUUUGGAGCCAAGAAGUCUCGAUCGCGUUUGGAGACCGACUAUCACUUUUCCAGUUGAUUCCUCGCAAUAUAUAGACGGCACAUACGAAGGUAUAUGCUCCCUAUGUGUUAUCGCACGUUGAAAAAACUACCGCGACAAGCGCCUACGACACUUGCCAGGAAACUACAGCCCAGGUCCCUGGAAUUAAUCCACUCUGUCACCAUUCGUAAAAAUGUCAAUUCGAUUGAGAGCAAUUCCCAUGAAGUGGAGCAAUAAGUUUGCCUAUAAGUACCCAGAAAUUCUCUUUUUUUAGGGGAAAACACAUCGCAAAUAAUAAAUUCCAUGAAGGAUGAAUAACAAAUAAAAAUUAUGUUCUCAGAAAUAUUUUUCUAUACACGAUUUAUUUCGAAGUACAGAAUAAAUUCUAUUUUUUCCACGGAGUACUGAAUGUCACGCCGAUUGACAAAAACCUUGGCUUCACGCGAGGACGAGUGCAAUGAUACGGGAUUCCUUGAAUUCUCCCGACAGUCUGGAUAAUUUUUAAGUCAUCUCUACAUUAUUUCACGAUUACUGGAGGUGUGUUAUUGAUGAGUUCCAGAGGACAAUGGCCACUAGUGUUUCUAAAAAAUUCCCUCGAAGUUAUAAUUAUAAUUAAUCUUUAUGUCAAUUGGAAUUCAUCCAAGUGGCACUGAUUGAUCCACUGCUCGCGUUUCAAUAUUUUUAGAGCGAUAAAAAAUGACGAUAAAAAAAUAUAUUCACGGAAUUUUUAAUAUUCUCGAAUGAUAAACAAAAUGUCUGCAGUGGCAUGCAAGGAAUGAGUGAUUUUAGAAAGGAAUGUCAAAAGAGUGUUGGCAGAAUGAGAAAAUUCCGAAAUAAAUACCGUAGCAUUUGCUUUACGGUGAGCGUAACUAUCACAUUUUUCCAAAUAAUUUCCUCCACUAUAACAAUAAUUAUCGAACAGUCGUAGCUCAGAUUAUGAUGGAAUUAACAACACAAAUUUCUUUCUGUCACAACAAUUUGUUGAUAACGACAUGAUAAAAA